rnacentral:rRNA from 1 species
GACGAACGCUGGCGGCGUGCCUAAUACAUGCAAGUCGAACGCAGUUGCGAACAGGUGAGUAACGCGUAGGUAACUGCCUCAUAGCGGGGGAUAACCAUUGGAAACGAUAGCUAAUACCGCAUACUGUGAGAUGGACCUGCGUUGGCUUAGCUAGUUGGUGGGGUAAAGGCUGACCAAGGCGACGAUACAUAGCCUACCUGAGAGGGUGAUCGGCCCACCUGGGACUGAGACACGGCCCAAACUCCUACGGGAGGCAGCAGUGGGGAAUCGUCGGCAAUUGGCGGAAAUCUGGACGAGCAACGCCGCGGGAGUGAAGGAGGUUUUUGGAGCGUAAAGCUCUGUUGUUAGAGAAGCGGUACCUACCCAGAAAGGGACGGCUAACUACGUGCCAGCAGCCGCGGUAAUUC